rnacentral:tRNA from 1 species
GCCUCGAUGGCGGAAUUGGUAGACGCGCUGGUCUCAAACACCAGUAACUUCACUGUUAUGCCGGUUCGACCCCGGCUCGGGGUA